UAAACGACUCUCGGCAACGGAUAUCUCGGCUCAUGCAUCGAUGAAGAACGUAGCAAAAUGCGAUACUUGGUGUGAAUUGCAGAAUCCCGUGAACCAUCGAGUUUUUGAACGCAAGUUGCGCCCGAAGCCAUGUGGUUGAGGGCACGUCUGCCUGGGCGUCAAGC
rnacentral:rRNA from 1 species